AGUUUCACUUACUCACACUACAUCACCAUUGCAGUCGUUACUGAUUUUUUUUCGUCUUCACGUCUUCCAUCCGUUUUAGUUCUUCAACCUCUUUUAAAGGUGUCGCGCGUUUUUCCCUUCACAGCUUCCAUUCGAGUUGCAGCGAAAUUUCGAGACUGAGGCAGGUGCGUUAAGUUGAAGACUUGAAGCUCCCUUGCUCUCUCCUUGAUUUGCUCACAGAAACGAUUUUCUUCAUAUGGAUUGGCUAAUUUCUCAUAGGUGAGACAAAUGUUUUGAAGAGGGUUCAUAUGUUAUCCCAGGUGCAAGAAAUAGAAAUUGGGGUUCUCCACUUGCAGUUGUUAUUUUCUUUUGUCCAUUCACCUUUUCUCCCCCUUCCCUUUCUUCCAGGUGUGAAACAACAUAGAUUGAUUUCUGAUUUCUUGUGCUUGGCUGAACAGAUAUGAAUGAUGUAAUAGAUGGAGAGUUGCUGGGUGGAUCAUAUCAUCCAUAUGCUUAGGGGAGUUUUCCUCACAUAUGCAGCUUCAUAUAGCUUUUCUCAAUCUGUCUGCACAUGCCCACAUUGUUUCGAAUCCUAUGCUUUCUUUUUCUUCAAUUGUUGGUUCCGAAUCUGUUUUUCCUUUUGUUCAAUUGAACAAGUUUAACUUUUUUCAAACUAUUUUUUUUAUUGUUUCUUACUUUCAA